CCAUCCCUUCGGCCCGAGGGGCUUUUCCCUUCUCAGGAACCCGUUCCGUCUCGUUUAGGGGGCGUCUCCCCGCAGCGAUUUAGCGCCAACAAUAGGAUCCGGGUGAUGCUCCCUCGUCGGGCUCGGCGUGAGGUUCCGGCGCCACUCUCCCAACCGCGUAGCACAGGGCUUGGCACCCAGGAAGCGCUCGAUUGAUACGGUUGGAUGAAUGAACGCUCUGUGGCCCGCUAAGGAUGGUGAAGAAGAUGUGCCCCCGUGACGGGAUGGAGGAGACCCAAUAUUCAGGAACAAAUGGCCGUUCCACCCAACUGGCCACCGCACAAAGAAACUGGUCACAAAUGCAAAGGGGAUUGUCAUCCUGAACCACCAGAGUGUUAUGAUUUAACAGAUUUAGAGAGAAAUCUAGGCUGAGUACAGUUUUGAAAAUGGAAACCAAAAUUGAAGAAAAAUAGCAAAGAGGAAACUAGACUUCCCUCGGAGAAGACAACUUGCAAGUAACUGAGUUGUCGUAUUGUUUUCCAGCCUUUAUUUACUUUUAAAAAUUUGAACCCAUUUCCAAAUCUGUCAUUUCAUAUCCUGCAUCGGUAUCCUAACUUGUUAAAGUCUUUUUUCCAACCAUCAGAAACAUCCUUGGAGUUUGAUAAAAAAAAAUAUUGAUGCCAGCAUUUUGUGGAGAGUAAAUCAUUAGAACUAGGGGCAUGUAAAACUUUUUAUGUUUCAAAAACUACUUUGUACUAAAAAUUACAACAUUUUGAGUUUUCUUCAUGGCCAGAAAA